rnacentral:lncRNA from 1 species
AUGAAGUGCCUAGAAAAAAUGGUACUUACUCACAUCAAUUCUGUGGUCCCUGAUACCGUUGACCCUCUACAGUUUGCUUACCGGCCUAAUAGAUCGAUGGACGAUGCGGUGGCCAUGGCCCUCCACUACAUUCUACAACACCUGGACUGUAGCAGAACAUAUAUCAGGAUGCUUUUCCUGGACUAUAGUUCUGCUUUUAACACCAUUCGGCCAGGAAAGAUGAUCACCAAGCUGACUGACCUUGGGGUCCAGACUGCCACCUGCAACUGGAUUCUGGACUUCCUCACAAACAGACCGCAGGUGGUGAUGAUGGGAAGAAGGGUCUCUGGUGAGCUCACGGUCAGCACAGGAUCACCGGAGGUCUGUUGUCUCAGCCCGAAACUCUUUACUUUGUACACUUAUCACUGUGACUCUACCCAGGACGACACGGUUGUCAUCAAGUACACCGACGACACAACCAUCCUUGGUCUCAUUAAGGGUGAGGACAAGUCAGGGUACAGGGCCUCGGUCAACAGCAUUCUGGUCUAUGGUGAAGAGAACGACCUCAUCCUCAAUGUAGACAAGACGAGGGAGUUAAUCAUAGACUUCAGGAAGAAAUCUCCCCCUCUGCAGUCUCUCAUCAUCAGGGGGACUGAGGUGGAGAGGGUUGACAGUCACAAGUUUUUGGGGCUUCAGGUGACAACGAACCUGAGCUGGACUGAAAAUACUGCUACCAUAGUGAAAAAGGCUCAGAAACGGUUUUAUUUUAUCAGACUGCUCAGAAAGGCUGGAGUGAGCCUUCGUCCCCUCACACAAGUCUAUAGAGGUCUUGUGGAGAGCAUCCUCACUACUGCUAUCACUGUCUGGUAUGGCAACACCACCCAGGCAGAGAGGAAGGCCCUCCAGAGAGUGGUGAAGACAGCAGAGAGGAUCAUUGCGACUGAUCUUCCAUCUAUGGAUAACAUUUAUACACAACGCUGUAAGAAAAAAGCCCAGAAAAUCAUUGGCGAUAUACAUCACCCAGCUCACCUUUUCUUCAGGUGCAAAAAGUCAGUUUAG